UGCGAAGGGUGCAAACGUUGCUCGGAAUUAUUGGGCGUAAAGCGCACGUAGGCGGCUUUUUAAGUCAGGGGUGAAAUCCUGGAGCUCAACUCCAGAACUGCCUUUGAUACUGAGAAGCUUGAGUCCGGGAGAGGUGAGUGGAACUGCGAGUGUAGAGGUGAAAUUCGUAGAUAUUCGCAAGAACACCAGUGGCGAAGGCGGCUCACUGGCCCGGUACUGACGCUGAGGUGCGAAAGCGUGGGGAGCAAACAGG
rnacentral:rRNA from 1 species